rnacentral:rRNA from 1 species
CAGUAGCCACGGGAAUACGAAGGGGGCUAGCGUUGUUCGGAGUUACUGGGCGUAAAGGGCGCGUAGGCGGCCAUUCAAGUUAGAUGUGAAAGCCCUGGGCUCAACCUAGGAAUUGCAUUUGAUACUGUUUGGCUUGAGUUCGGGAGAGGUGAGUGGAAUUCCCAGUGUAGAGGUGAAAUUCGUAGAUAUUGGGAAGAACACCAGUGGCGAAGGCGGCUCACUGGACCGACACUGACGCUGAGGCGCGAAAGCGUGGGGAGCAAACAGGAUUAGAUACCCCUGUAGUCCCUGUCUCUUAUAC